rnacentral:lncRNA from 1 species
AAUUUUGUUUUCAGCUGAAGGCGAUCAACACCUGGCUAGCCGUUCUCCCGGCAUCGGGAUUUGUCAGCAGCAGUUUUACGGAGACAUUGGAUGCUUCUGACAAAGCCUCAUUGAUUCCUCUUACAUGGUAAAUCUUCACAGCAGAAUCAAAACUAUCAAUUCCAGGAAAAGAAAAUAUUCUGAAAGGUCAUGCUAGCCAUUCAGAGGGUAUUCUUUCCUCCAUGAGUCACAGAACAAACCAGCCUGGGAGAUGAAAUGUCUCUGGUCUCUGUGAAGCAGCAUUUGCUCAAAUGUAUCAGGCUGAGACUUUCCUUGAUAAAAU